GUGGAUUAGAUACCCUGGUAGUCCACGCCCUAAACGAUGAAUGCUAGUCGUCGGGGAGCUCGUCUCUUCGGUGAUGCACUUAACAGAUUAAGCAUUCCGCCUGGGGAGUACGGUCGCAAGAUUAAAACUCAAAGGAAUAGACGGGGACCCGCACAAGUGGUGGAGCAUGUGGUUUAAUUCGAAGAUACACGAAGAACCUUACCUGGCCUUGACAUGGUAGGAACCCUGUAGAGAUACGGGGGUGCCAGCUUGCUAGAACCUACACACAGGUGCUGCACGGCCGUCGUCAGCU
rnacentral:rRNA from 1 species